UACGUAGGUGGCAAGCGUUGUUCGGAAUUACUGGGCGUAAAGGGCGCGUAGGCGGCCUGCUAAGUCGAACGUGAAAUCCCCGGGCUCAACCCGGGAACUGCGUCCGAUACUGGCAGGCUUGAAUUCGGGAGAGGGAUGUGGAAUUCCAGGUGUAGCGGUGAAAUGCGUAGAUAUCUGCAGGAACACCCGUGGCGAAAACGGCGCGCUGGACCACUACUGACGCUGAGGAACGAAAGCUAGGGGAGCAAACAGG
rnacentral:rRNA from 1 species